UGCUGACCUGUUGAAAGCACAGGGUAUUAAUUCUGCUGUUUAUGAUGGCGUUAUGCCGAACCCGACUGUUACCGCAGUUCUGGAAGGCCUUAAGAUCCUGAAGGAUAACAAUUCAGACUUCGUCAUCUCCCUCGGUGGUGGUUCUCCCCAUGACUGCGCCAAAGCCAUCGCUCUGGUCGCAACCAAUGGUGGUGAAGUCAAAGACUACGAAGGUAUCGACAAAUCUAAGAAACCUGCCCUGCCUUUGAUGUCAAUCAACACGACGGCUGGUACGGCUUCUGAAAUGACGCGUUUCUGCAUCAUCACUGAUGAAGUCCGUCACGUUAAGAUGGCCAUUGUUGACCGUCACGUUACCCCGAUGGUUUCCGUCAACGAUCCUCUGUUGAUGGUUGGUAUGCCAAAAGGCCUGACCGCCGCCACCGGUAUGGAUGCUCUGACCCACGCAUUUGAAGCUUAUUCUUCAACGGCAGCUACUCCGAUCACCGAUGCUUGCGCCUUGAAGGCUGCGUCCAUGAUCGCUAAGAAUCUGAAGACCGCUUGCGACAACGGUAAGGAUAUGCCAGCUCGUGAAGCUAUGGCUUAUGCCCAAUUCCUCGCUGGUAUGGCCUUCAACAACGCUUCGCUUGGUUAUGUCCAUGCUAUGGCUCACCAGUUGGGCGGCUACUACAACCUGCCGCAUGGUGUCUGCAACGCUGUUCUGCUUCCGCAUGUUCUGGCUUAUAACGCCUCUGUCGUUGCUGGUCGUCUGAAAGACGUUGGUGUUGCUAUGGGUCUCGAUAUCGCCAAUCUCGGUGAUAAAGAAGGCGCAGAAGCCACCAUUCAGGCUGUUCGCGAUCUGGCUGCUUCCAUUGGUAUUCCAGCAAAUCUGACCGAGCUGGGUGCUAAGAAAGAAGAUGUGCCGCUUCUUGCUGACCACGCUCUGAAAGAUGCUUGUGCUCUGACCAACCCGCGUCAGGGUGAUCAGAAAGAAGUUGAAGAACUCUUCCUGAGCGCUUUCUAAUUUCAAAACAGGAAAACGGUUUUCCGUCCUGUCUUGAUUUUCAAGCAAACAAUGCCUCCGAUUUCUAAUCGGAGGCAUUUGUUUUUGUUUAUUGCAAAAACAAAAAAUAUUGUUACAAAUUUUUACAGGCUAUUAAGCCUACCGUCAUAAAUAAUUUGCCAUUUGGGGAUCCACUAGUUCUAGAGCGGCCGCCACGGGGAGCUUGUCGACCAAUUCGAAGUUCCUAUACUUUCUAGAGAAUAGGAACUUCCGGGAUCAAUUCAUCGGGCGCGCGGAAUUGUGGCCUUAAUUAAGGCGGCCAGAUCUGAUCAAGAGACAGCUACGGUGCUGAAGCAACAAAUGCCCUGCUUCCAGGAAAAGCCUCUAAGCAUCAGGUAACAUCAAAUCGUACCCCAAACCGACACAGGUGGUCAGGUAGAGAAUACCAAGGCGCUUGAGAGAACUCGGGUGAAGGAACUAGGCAAAAUGGUGCCGUAACUUCGGGAGAAGGCACGCUGAUAUGUAGGUGAAGUCCCUCGCGGAUGGAGCUGAAAUCAGUCGAAGAUACCAGCUGGCUGCAACUGUUUAUUAAAAACACAGCACUGUGCAAACACGAAAGUGGACGUAUACGGUGUGACGCCUGCCCGGUGCCGGAAGGUUAAUUGAUGGGGUCAGCGCAAGCGAAGCUCUUGAUCGAAGCCCCGGUAAACGGCGGCCGUAACUAUAACGGUCCUAAGGUAGCGAAAUUCCUUGUCGGGUAAGUUCCGACCUGCACGAAUGGCGUAAUGAUGGCCAGGCUGUCUCCACCCGAGACUCAGUGAAAUUGAACUCGCUGUGAAGAUGCAGUGUACCCGCGGCAAGACGGAAAGACCCCGUGAACCUUUACUAUAGCUUGACACUGAACAUUGAGCCUUGAUGUGUAGGAUAGGUGGGAGGCUUGGAAGUGUGGACGCCAGUCUGCAUGGAGCCGACCUUGAAAUACCACCCUUUAAUGUUUGAUGUUCUAACGUUGACCCGUAAUCCGGGUUGCGGACAGUGUCUGGUGGGUAGUUUGACUGGGGCGGUCUCCUCCUAAAGAGUAACGGAGGAGCACGAAGGUUGGCUAAUCCUGGUCGGACAUCAGGAGGUUAGUGCAAUGGCAUAAGCCAGCUUGACUGCGAGCGUGACGGCGCGAGCAGGUGCGAAAGCAGGUCAUAGUGAUCCGGUGGUUCUGAAUGGAAGGGCCAUCGCUCAACGGAUAAAAGGUACUCCGGGGAUAACAGGCUGAUACCGCCCAAGAGUUCAUAUCGACGGCGGUGUUUGGCACCUCGAUGUCGGCUCAUCACAUCCUGGGGCUGAAGUAGGUCCCAAGGGUAUGGCUGUUCGCCAUUUAAAGUGGUACGCGAGCUGGGUUUAGAACGUCGUGAGACAGUUCGGUCCCUAUCUGCCGUGGGCGCUGGAGAACUGAGGGGGGCUGCUCCUAGUACGAGAGGACCGGAGUGGACGCAUCACUGGUGUUCGGGUUGUCAUGCCAAUGGCACUGCCCGGUAGCUAAAUGCGGAAGAGAUAAGUGCUGAAAGCAUCUAAGCACGAAACUUGCCCCGAGAUGAGUUCUCCCUGACUCCUUGAGAGUCCUGAAGGAACGUUGAAGACGACGACGUUGAUAGGCCGGGUGUGUAAGCGCAGCGAUGCGUUGAGCUAACCGGUACUAAUGAACCGUGAGGCUUAACC
rnacentral:rRNA from 1 species